rnacentral:lncRNA from 1 species
CCCAAAUGCCCAUCAACAGCAGAAUGAAAUUGUACUAUAUUCACACCAUGGAAUAUUGUAUAGCAAAGAGAAUGAAUGAACUAUUAACAGAAAAGACAUGGACAAAUCUCAUAAACAUGAUGCUGAAAGAAACCACAGUCAAAAAAGAAGAUGCUUCCCAACCUUUUGCAGACCAUGGCAUACGCAGAAAAUGACAACAUCGGAAUGGCACACUGGCAUACCAGUUGGGGAUCCUUGCAGUCAAUGCUGACUGGACUCAUCCUUCAGCCGCCCCCAAGAAGAGAGAGAUCAAUACCUUGGCACAUCUGUGGGAAAGCUCCCAUUAGAGAGUGUGGGGAAGACACAGGCCUCCACAACACAUUUCAGGUUCUC